GGGAAGUUUCGGGGGGCAUCGGCCGAUGGCCUUUACAGGUCUGGUACGCCGGUGUCCUUGCUCAGCUUCUCCUUUAAAAGCGGUUGGGUCAUAUUUACAACCCUUCACCGAGGUGCAGCCCCUCAUCUAAGGCCCAGGAUCGACGACCAGCUAUGGGUUACAGGCAUCACCACCAGCCCCUGAGGAUGCAGCGCCUCGUCUGUUGAUUGAUCCACAACCAGCCAUGGAGAACAGGCAUCACCACCAGCAACUGAGCUGAGCCAGGAUACAGCGCCUCUUCUGUUGAUUGAUCCACAAGCAGCCAGGGAGAACAGGCAUCACCACCGAGCUGACCCCGCAUUCAGCGCCUCUUCCACCAAUCGUAAGUUUCGGACUGCUCUUAAAAAAAAAACUCCUCCCUCUAACAGAAAAAAAACCUCUCGUUAGCCUCUUAGCAUGAUUAUCAAUUAAUUAAUGUCCCCAUAAGGAGGGGGGGGCAAAGGGGGAGGAGGUGGGGUAAAAUAUCAAACACUUAAGUUAAAAUUUAGAUUGGAAGAAAAAAGGAGGACUUUGCACAAAUAUACUCCUGAUUUUCUAUUAAAGUGUAGAAUCCUAAACGUCAAACAAAAUCUGUCCAACACAAGAAACGCAGAUUCAGUUCAGCUGCUGGACAGAAAAACAUAAACACAAAGGG